rnacentral:rRNA from 1 species
CGGCUGAGUAACGCGUGGGUGACGUACCUAUAGGUGGGGAAUAACUGCCCGAAAGGGUGGCUAAUACCGCAUACGUCCACUGGAGUCGUCCAGUGGGGAAAACCGCAAGGUGCCGAUGGAGCGGCCCGCGUUCGAUUAGCUGGUUGGUGGGGUAACGGCCUACCAAGGCGACGAUCGAUAGCUGGUCUCAGAGGAUGAUCAGCCAGACUGGGACUGAGACACGGCCCAG